rnacentral:lncRNA from 1 species
UACAUUCUACUAUUUCUUAGGAAUAUGAAUCUGCGUGAUAUUUUGAUUCUUAAACUGUAAUUUAUUAUAAUUUCUAACUCGAAAUUUAUAAAUUAUUACAAUCAAACUCUGUAGCUCAAUUUGAAGUGGCAUCUGAAUCACUAACUUAUCAUUAACUUUCACAUUAUCGAAAAUAUCAAUAUUUCGUGUGGAACUUACACGAUCACAUUAAUUUAGAAAAUUCGAACUAAAAAUUACAAUAAAUUAAAGUUUGAGGACCAAAAUUUCACGCACGCGUAGUUGGAGAAUCGAUAUUUUUUAAUGGCAAGAAAAUGGAACUUUUU